UCCAUAGCCAAGAAUUCCUUCCCAAUAUCUAACCCUGCCCUCGGUCAGUGGGAAGCCAUUCCCUGUGUCCUGUCCUUGCCCUUGUCCAAAGCCCCUCUCCACUAUCACACAAAGUUCAGUGCUCAUUUCCAGCUGAUGGCACCGUGUCCCCGCUGUCCUGGCAGCCAGCAAGGGGCUUUUCCCAAGGCUGCCAGCUUGGGAAAACCAGCUCUCGUUCUGAGCCAGUUACCUCAGCCAGCUGCAGCCGGGCCUGGCAGCACGGUGACACCUCGGUGAGAGCACGGGGACAGCACGGGGACAGCACGGGGACAGCACGGUGCCACCUCGGUGCCACCGCCACCUCCGUGGGGAGCCAUGGAUGGGCCCACGCCGAGGACAGGGAUGGAGCUGCCCUCCCUCUCCCACUCCCAGGGAUCCUGGAGACGGUUGGAUUUUAUCAGCUGAUCCAUGGGCUCAGGCACUGGACAUCAAUGAACUCCUUUCUGAUGGUUCCUCUCCGUGCUGCUCCUCCAGCCAGACUGUGAUAAGUUCAAUAUUUACACUUUUUUAUUUUGAAAUGUUCAUGUUCUAUAUAUAAAAUAUUUACAUAAUGUAUCUUCAGGUUUACCAAUAAUUAAAAUUAUCAGUAACCCUGGUAAGGAAAUGCACCAAACUUGCUGGUCCCUGGCAGGAGCCUGGCAAGAGCACUGAGAAAAUCUGGGAGCCCCUUUGGGAUAACCAGUAAUGUACAGCCAAAGAGUCUUUUAGUCUGUAAAACCCCAGAAUUUGUGUCUGACACAGCACAGCGCCGUGUGCCCAGAGCUCGACAUGAGCUCAUGCUGCAGAGGGGAUGCAGCCAGGGACAAACCAGCCCACUGGGGACCAUCCCAGGGGCAAACACGAACUCAAAAGCUCAAAUCUUAAAUGUCAAAACUGUAAAAAUGGCCUCUUUUCCAAACCAGUCUGAAAGGCCAUCAUUUUACUGGGAUAAUGUGAACACAGCAGAAACCACGAAUUGCAAUCACAUGCUGGGCUUCCUCCAAAUUUCUUGGAAGCUGAGGGUAGAGCCCAAGAAAGCAAAUAGCAGCAAAACAAGGUGGCAGGUGAGGGAGAGCUACAGCCCGUGUCCCAGCCCAUGCCCAGGGCUGUGGAGCACAGGAGGGUGCAGAGGGAAGUGGCAGAAAUCCUGCAAGGAAUCGCCUUGUGGGCCGCAGAUGCUUCUGCUAUCAAUGCUUCUGUAAAUGGGAUAGGACAAGGGGGAUUUCGGGUGGAAUGUGACCACACUGAGGACUUGCUGCACUUACCAUGGGGCCAGAGCCCAUGAGCCACUGAGCAGUUAUUUAUCUCAGUGUCUGAUGGCUCUCCUUAAAGCAUCUUUCCAUAAUUGUUGCACAGAUAAACGCGGUUAUCGUAAAUCCCGUUCUUGUCUUGCCCCUGACCCCCAUCUGCAGUCAUCCAGCCUGGGAAUUACCGAAGGGAAAUUUAUGUAAGCUUUGUUUUAAUUGCAAACAAUUCAAAGAAAUCAUUCCCUGCUGGGAACUCGGCCUUUUCUGCUGCAGUUAAAUGAGAUUUUAUUACAGCACGACUCGCUCUGUGGCUCGGGGGGAAGGCUGAGCUGUGCUGUUCAGGGACUGAGGGGUUGGAAACGUCGAAAACUCCAACGGCCACAUGGCAGGGAAGGAGCUUCAUGGCAGCAUCUUCUGUUCCAGAGCUGAGACUUUCUGAACCCAAGUGCAGCAUCUUCACAGCCAGAGAGAGGCUCCUUCAGCACUGCUGAUUUACCAAGUCCUUGACCCUUUUUCCUGGGUUAAAUUCUGUCUCUGCACAGGGCUGGGCUGGGUUCCCACCACCGGUCCCCUGCCUGGGACUCCUGUCCCAGCCCCCACCUGGGGAGCCCCAAGGUUUUUCAGUACACUUCCCUCUAUCACUCAUGUUUGGCAGCUGGCACCACCUUGGGAGGGAGCUUUUAUCACAUUUGGGUGAGUAUCAGACACUUGGGAACCACUGCAGUGACAAAACACAUUCAAGAUCAUGGAAUCAAAGAGGGAUUUGGGUUGGAAGGGACCCAGCGACCCUUAAACUCAUCCAGUCCUUCCCCUACCAUGUCGGACCCAACCCUCUCCAGGACCACAGUAAAAACUCCACAAAAGCAUUUUGGAGCCAUUUAAUGAAAAAAGCAGAAUUUUAUUAUAUGGUUUCUGUCCAUUAUUCGGCAUUGCUGUAAAUGGCUCACAUUUACUGCAACUUCUGUACAGAUGUGUGGCUUUGUAUUACCAGAACAGCAAAUUUAAAUGAAAAAAUAAAUGUUCAACAAUUCCACACAAGCUUUUACAGUCCAACAUUUCACUGAGGUGAAAACUACAGACUUGUUACUACAGAAUUAUUCAGCAUGAAUAAAAAACUACAACUUUUAUUUUUAAA